rnacentral:rRNA from 1 species
UGCAGCCAUACUGCCCUGAACGCACCCAAUCUCGCCUGAUCUUGGAAGCUAAGCAGGGUCAGGCCUGGUUAGUACUUGGAUGGGAGAAAUCAUGAACAAGCUAUAA